AACGAACGCUGGCGGCAUGCCUAACACAUGCAAGUCGAACGCUCCUGGGGCUUCGGUCCGAGGGGAGUGGCGCACGGGUGAGUAGCGCGUGGGAACCUGCCCUGUUGUGGGGGAUAACCGAGGGAAACUUCGGCUAAUACCGCAUGCGCCCGGGGGUGACUCCGGGGAAAGAUUUAUCGCAGCAGGAGGGGCCCGCGUCGGAUUAGGUAGUUGGUGGGGUAACGGCCCACCAAGCCGAUGAUCCGUAGCUGGUCUGAGAGGAUGAUCAGC
rnacentral:rRNA from 1 species